AUUGAACGCUGGCGGCAGGCCUAACACAUGCAAGUCGAGCGAGCGGCGGACGGGUGAGUAAUGUAUGGGGACUGCCCGAUAGAGGGGGAUAACUACUGGAAACGGUGGCUAAUACCGCAUACUAUCGGAUAACCCAUAUGGGAUUAGCUAGUAGGUGGGGUAAAGGCUCAACUAGGCGACGAUCUCUAGCUGGUCUGAGAGGAUGAUCAGGAACACUGGACCGUAGACACGGCCCCGACUCCUAGGGAGGAAGCAGUGGGGAAUAUUGCACAAUGGGCGCAAGCCUGAUGCAGCCAUGCUGCGUGUAUGAAGAAUGCCUUAGGGUUGUAAAGUACUUUCAGCGGGGAGGCGUUACCCUCAGAAGAAUCACCGGCUAACUCCGUGCCAGCCGCCGCGGUAAUAC
rnacentral:rRNA from 1 species